rnacentral:rRNA from 1 species
UACGUAGGGUCCGAGCGUUUGUCCGGAAUUAUUGGGCGUAAAGGGCUCGUAGGCGGUCUGUUGCGUCGGGAGUGAAAACUUACAGCUUAACUGUGAGCGUGCUUCCGAUACGGGCAGACUUGAGGUAUUCAGGGGAGAACGGAAUUCCUGGUGUAGCGGUGAAAUGCGCAGAUAUCAGGAGGAACACCGGUGGCGAAGGCGGUUCUCUGGGAAUAUCCUGACGCUGAGGAGCGAAAGCGUGGGGAGCGAACAGG